CCGGGGCCUUUCGUGCUAAUUUAACUCGUAACGAGUCUCUAAGGUAAUUGGGGGGGGGCUGGUGGCCCCCCCCUCCCCAAAACCCGGACGCCUGGGGCCCGUCCCUCGUGUCCCCCGUCCCUGCCCCCCACUCUGGGACCCGUCCCCAAAUUUUGGGUCAGUGGGUGGCUUGGACCCACCUGUAGGAGCCUGUGGCCCCCCCUUCCCCCCCCUCCCGCCCCGAGUGUCCCCGUCCCUCGUCACCCACCUUGUCCCUGUCACCCGCCCUGUCCUCGUCCCCCACCUCGGGGUCUGCGUUUUUGGCAGAGUCCCCCCCAAAAAGUCUGUACCCCCCCCAUGGGUGUUGUGCCCCAUGUCCCCAACCCAAGGGACCGAGGCACGAUGUGGCUUGAUGUCCCCAAUGUCCCCAGUGACCCCAAUGACCCCAAUGACCCCAAUGACCCCGGGCCGAGUGAUGUCCCGAUGUCCCCAACGUCCCCAACUCACGGGGCUGAGGCACAAUGUGGCUCGAUGUCCCCAGUGUCCCCAACCCAGGGAGUGGGGACAGGCCAUGACCUGAUGUCCCCAGUGUCCCCAGUCUGGGGGACGUGGGCACCGGUUACCCCAAAGCCAUUGGGCUGGGACAGGUCAUGGCCUGAUGUCCCCAAUGUCCCCAAUGUCCCCAAAACCCCUCAAGGGACCGUGAGACAUCACGGCCUGAUGUCCCCAGUGUCCCCAACGUCCCCAACCUGAGGGACUGAGACACAUCCUGGCUCAGUGUCCCCAAUGUCCCCGACACCCCCAGUGCCCCCGACACCCCCAGUGUCCCCAACCCCCUCGGUGUCCCCGAUGUCCCCCACGUCCCCCCGCCAAGACAUCGAGAUCCGUCGUGGCACGACAUCACCGAGCCCGAGGGACGGAGACUCGUCACCGCUCGACGUCCCCGAGGGACACGGGCACCUCGUCACCGCCCGAUGUCCCCAGCGUGUCCCCGAAGGACGAGGACACCGUGUGAAUGGACUGAGACCUGUCCCGGCCCGACGUCCCCAACGCCCCCGAGGGACAGAGACAACCUGAGACUGAUGUCCCCAAUGUCCCCAAGGGACGAGGGACCCGCUCAUCACCCCGGACUGAGAGACUGAGACACGGCGUGGGCUGAUGGCCCCGAUGCCCCUGAGGAUGUCCCUGAUGUCCCCAACCCAGCGGACUGAGACCCGUCGUGGCCCAACGUCCCCGAUGUCACCCAUGUCCCCGAAGGAUAUGGGACACUGUCAUCACCCCAGGUCAAAGGACUGAGACCCACCACGGCCUGAUGUCCCCGAUGUCACCGAUGUCCCCGAUGUCCCCAAAGGAUGUGGGACCGGUCCAAGGACUGAGCCCCACCCCCCCAGCCCCGAUGUCCCCCACGCCCCCGAUGUCCCCGAUGUCUCAAUGUCGCUGAUGUCCCCGAAGGAUGCGGGACAUCGUCACCACCUGGACUCAAGGGACUGAGAGCCACCGCGGCCCGAUGUCCCCCAGCGCCCCCGAUGUCACCGACGUCCCCAAAGGAUGUGGGACAUCAUCACCACCUGGACUCGAGGCACUGAGCCCCACCACGGCCCGGUGUCCCCAGCGUCCCCACCAAGAGGGACUGGCCCCCCCUUGUCCCCAAGGUCCCCCGUGUCCCCACCCGAGGGACAGACACGUGGCGGCCCGACAGCCCCCGUGUCCCCGAUGUCCCCUGGAGGCCCCGUGGCCCCGACGCCCCCCGGCAAUAAAGUGGCCUCUGUGGUCCCUG